CAGUGAGAGGCUCAACGAGGUCAAGGUCUUGCUACAUUUUGAAUUGUGUUUACUUAUUAUAUAUGUGAGGCAGUGAGAGUAUAAGAUGGUUUAUUUUCUAGAAAGAUGUAAGAAAACUGCAAUGAAAAAAUGCAAAGAUAAAAGAAUGAAGAUAAAGGUAAAUUCAGCAUGAUCCACUUCAAUGAAGACCUUCGACAAUGUAAGCCACGUCUCAUAACAUAUCUGCUGUCAUUUUGUAUUCAGAACCUGUGGGAACAUUAAGAAUAUCCAUAACGAUUUAUCAUAACGGAAGAGGUCCAGUGUUUGUCAAAUCCGUAAACGUAGAUUUUUUGCUUUUGAGGUGUGUCUUUAUUAAGUGAUUCUUGAAGAUAUAUUGCACUGGGCUGAAGAUGAGUGCCACAAAGGUUCCAUACAGCUCAUCACCAGCUUAGUCGACCAAGGGCGCGCAUUGGUCCUUUUGCCACCUUGACUUCGUAUAUUAGAAUUUCUUUGGAUGUUUUAGUCACCAUGAAUUAGGGAUGUAUGAUAACAUUUCAGUGAUAAUCCAGACCUACAUAUAACCUUGAUUUAGUGACUUGUAAGAUGUUAAUCGUGCAUCUCUUCUGUCAGACAAAUUUUUGAAACUUUUGUUCACUAUUCCUCGUCCUUUCAUUUACAUAUACUGCAGAUUUGGAGAAGACGUCUUGAGCAAAUGAGAUUCGGCAAGAGCUGGCUAUUUCUGAGUUAGUCAAGUGAUCUUGAUGAAUAUUGAUUUGUGCCAUAUGAGAAAUUAUGAAUACUUUCACUGUGUGUAGCUUGUAAUGAGUGACUUUAUUUUAAGGAUAUUCCCCAAUACAAACCAAUUGUUGAUGAAAAUCGAUUCAACAGAGGAGGUUUCAAGAAGUCAAGUUUUAGAAGGCGCUGAUGUGCUUGUUCUUUUAUUUGUAGUUUGAUGAUGUAAAUUUGAAUAGAC
rnacentral:lncRNA from 1 species